GGUCAGCGCUCAGCCCCUCCCCUGUGUGUGAGAAACAGAUUCAACCCACGGUGGUCUGACAUGGGCGUCUGCCCCACAGGUGAGUGUGAGGCUGGCGUUGGUCCCAUCCCUGCUGGGCACAAUCUUCAGCUGAUGCUAAGUUUGGGAGAGUCGGGCAGGAGCAGCGGCAACAAUCCCCUUCAUCAGGCUGAUGCCUGGACAGCCCUGGGAGAAACCCUUUAUGGAAGGCCAGGUGUGUGGCAGGGGACACCCCACAGGAAUGACAACCAAAAUACAUGAGGAAAAAAUAGACAGUUGUUGAAAUGCAUUAGACAGACAUCGUGAAGGUGAAUUAAUUUUUAUGUUAAUUUA
rnacentral:lncRNA from 1 species